ACAAUGCGCCAUAGUCCAUCCGUCCUGGAACGGUGGGUGGAUGAAAGCUCCGGCGGCCUAGGAUAGCUCUGCGGCCUAUCAGGUUGUAGCGAGGGUAACGUCCUCGCUAGCCUACGACGGGUAUGGGUGUUGGGAGACAUCGCCCAGAGAUGGAUUCUGAGACACGAAUCCAGGCCCUACGGGGCGCAGCAGGCGCGAAAACUGCACAAUGUGGGAAACCACGAUGCGGGAAGCCCAAGUGCCAGCACUAAGUGCUGGCUGUCCUCAACUGUUCGUAAGUUGGGAAGAAAGUGCUGGGUAAGACGGGUGCCAGCCGCCGCGGUAAUACCCGCAGCACAAGUGGUGGUCAUUAUUAUUGGGCCUAAAGCGUCCGUAGCUGGCUUGUUAGAUGCCUGGGUAAAUCGAUGCGCUCAACGUAUCGAAUUCCGGGUAGACCGGCAAGCUCGAGACCGGGAGAGGUGUAGGCUACUCGAGGGGUAGGGGUAAAAUCCUGUAAUCCUUCGGGGAGGACCAGUGGCGAAGGCGCUACACUAGAACGGCUCUGACAGUGAGGGACGAAGCCCUGGGGCGCAAACCGGAUUAGAUACCCGGGUAGUCCAGGGUGCAAACGCUGCGGUCUUGGUGUCGCUAGUCCUACGAGGGCAGGCGGUGCCGGAGAGAAGUUGUUAAGGCCGCUGCCUGGGGAGUACGGCCGCAAGGUUGAAACUUAAAGGAAUUGGCGGGGGAGCACA
rnacentral:rRNA from 1 species